GGGUUGUGAGGUUAAGCGACUAAGCGUACACGGUGGAUGCCCUGGCAGUCAGAGGCGAUGAAGGACGUGCUAAUCUGCGAUAAGCGUCGGUAAGGUGAUAUGAACCGUUAUAACCGGCGAUUUCCGAAUGGGGAAACCCAGUGUGUUUCGACACACUAUCAUUAACUGAAUCCAUAGGUUAAUGAGGCGAACCGGGGGAACUGAAACAUCUAAGUACCCCGAGGAAAAGAAAUCAACCGAGAUUCCCCCAGUAGCGGCGAGCGAACGGGGAGCAGCCCAGAGCCUGAAUCAGUGUGUGUGUUAGUGGAAGCGUCUGGAAAGGCGCGCGAUACAGGGUGACAGCCCCGUACACAAAAAUGCACAUGCUGUGAGCUCGAUGAGUAGGGCGGGACACGUGGUAUCCUGUCUGAAUAUGGGGGGACCAUCCUCCAAGGCUAAAUACUCCUGACUGACCGAUAGUGAACCAGUACCGUGAGGGAAAGGCGAAAAGAACCCCGGCGAGGGGAGUGAAAAAGAACCUGAAACCGUGUACGUACAAGCAGUGGGAGCACGCUUCGGCGUGUGACUGCGUACCUUUUGUAUAAUGGGUCAGCGACUUAUAUUCUGUAGCAAGGUUAACCGAAUAGGGGAGCCGAAGGGAAACCGAGUCUUAACUGGGCGUUAAGUUGCAGGGUAUAGACCCGAAACCCGGUGAUCUAGCCAUGGGCAGGUUGAAGGUUGGGUAACACUAACUGGAGGACCGAACCGACUAAUGUUGAAAAAUUAGCGGAUGACUUGUGGCUGGGGGUGAAAGGCCAAUCAAACCGGGAGAUAGCUGGUUCUCCCCGAAAGCUAUUUAGGUAGCGCCUCGUGAAUUCAUCUCCGGGGGUAGAGCACUGUUUCGGCAAGGGGGUCAUCCCGACUUACCAACCCGAUGCAAACUGCGAAUACCGGAGAAUGUUAUCACGGGAGACACACGGCGGGUGCUAACGUCCGUCGUGAAGAGGGAAACAACCCAGACCGCCAGCUAAGGUCCCAAAGUCAUGGUUAAGUGGGAAACGAUGUGGGAAGGCCCAGACAGCCAGGAUGUUGGCUUAGAAGCAGCCAUCAUUUAAAGAAAGCGUAAUAGCUCACUGGUCGAGUCGGCCUGCGCGGAAGAUGUAACGGGGCUAAACCAUGCACCGAAGCUGCGGCAGCGACGCUUAUGCGUUGUUGGGUAGGGGAGCGUUCUGUAAGCCUGUGAAGGUGUGCUGUGAGGCAUGCUGGAGGUAUCAGAAGUGCGAAUGCUGACAUAAGUAACGAUAAAGCGGGUGAAAAGCCCGCUCGCCGGAAGACCAAGGGUUCCUGUCCAACGUUAAUCGGGGCAGGGUGAGUCGACCCCUAAGGCGAGGCCGAAAGGCGUAGUCGAUGGGAAACAGGUUAAUAUUCCUGUACUUGGUGUUACUGCGAAGGGGGGACGGAGAAGGCUAUGUUGGCCGGGCGACGGUUGUCCCGGUUUAAGCGUGUAGGCUGGUUUUCCAGGCAAAUCCGGAAAAUCAAGGCUGAGGCGUGAUGACGAGGCACUACGGUGCUGAAGCAACAAAUGCCCUGCUUCCAGGAAAAGCCUCUAAGCAUCAGGUAACAUCAAAUCGUACCCCAAACCGACACAGGUGGUCAGGUAGAGAAUACCAAGGCGCUUGAGAGAACUCGGGUGAAGGAACUAGGCAAAAUGGUGCCGUAACUUCGGGAGAAGGCACGCUGAUAUGUAGGUGAGGUCCCUCGCGGAUGGAGCUGAAAUCAGUCGAAGAUACCAGCUGGCUGCAACUGUUUAUUAAAAACACAGCACUGUGCAAACACGAAAGUGGACGUAUACGGUGUGACGCCUGCCCGGUGCCGGAAGGUUAAUUGAUGGGGUUAGCGCAAGCGAAGCUCUUGAUCGAAGCCCCGGUAAACGGCGGCCGUAACUAUAACGGUCCUAAGGUAGCGAAAUUCCUUGUCGGGUAAGUUCCGACCUGCACGAAUGGCGUAAUGAUGGCCAGGCUGUCUCCACCCGAGACUCAGUGAAAUUGAACUCGCUGUGAAGAUGCAGUGUACCCGCGGCAAGACGGAAAGACCCCGUGAACCUUUACUAUAGCUUGACACUGAACAUUGAGCCUUGAUGUGUAGGAUAGGUGGGAGGCUUUGAAGUGUGGACGCCAGUCUGCAUGGAGCCGACCUUGAAAUACCACCCUUUAAUGUUUGAUGUUCUAACGUUGACCCCUAAUCGGGGUUGCGGACAGUGUCUGGUGGGUAGUUUGACUGGGGCGGUCUCCUCCUAAAGAGUAACGGAGGAGCACGAAGGUUGGCUAAUCCUGGUCGGACAUCAGGAGGUUAGUGCAAUGGCAUAAGCCAGCUUGACUGCGAGCGUGACGGCGCGAGCAGGUGCGAAAGCAGGUCAUAGUGAUCCGGUGGUUCUGAAUGGAAGGGCCAUCGCUCAACGGAUAAAAGGUACUCCGGGGAUAACAGGCUGAUACCGCCCAAGAGUUCAUAUCGACGGCGGUGUUUGGCACCUCGAUGUCGGCUCAUCACAUCCUGGGGCUGAAGUAGGUCCCAAGGGUAUGGCUGUUCGCCAUUUAAAGUGGUACGCGAGCUGGGUUUAGAACGUCGUGAGACAGUUCGGUCCCUAUCUGCCGUGGGCGCUGGAGAACUGAGGGGGGCUGCUCCUAGUACGAGAGGACCGGAGUGGACGCAUCACUGGUGUUCGGGUUGUCAUGCCAAUGGCACUGCCCGGUAGCUAAAUGCGGAAGAGAUAAGUGCUGAAAGCAUCUAAGCACGAAACUUGCCCCGAGAUGAGUUCUCCCUGACUCCUUGAGAGUCCUGAAGGAACGUUGAAGACGACGACGUUGAUAGGCCGGGUGUGUAAGCGCAGCGAUGCGUUGAGCUAACCGGUACUAAUGAACCGUGAGGCUUAACCUUACAACGCCGAAGGUGUUU
rnacentral:rRNA from 1 species